rnacentral:rRNA from 1 species
CCUACGGGGGCUGCAGUGGGGAAUAUUGCACAAUGGGGGAAACCCUGAUGCAGCGACGCCGCGUGAGUGAAGAAGUAUUUCGGUAUGUAAAGCUCUAUCAGCAGGGAAGAAAAUGACGGUACCUGACUAAGAAGCCCCGGCUAACUACGUGCCAGCAGCCGCGGUAAUACGUAGGGGGCAAGCGUUAUCCGGAUUUACUGGGUGUAAAGGGAGCGUAGACGGCCAGACAAGUCAGAAGUGAAAGCCCAGGGCUCAACCCUGGAACUGCUUUUGAAACUGCCGGGCUGGAGUGUAGGAGAGGUAGGCGGAAUGCCUAGUGUAGCGGUGAAAUGCAUAGAUAUCAGGAGGAACACCAGUGGCGAAGGCGGCUUACUGGACUGUAACUGACGUUGAUGCUCGAAAGCGUGGGGAGCAAACAGGAUUAGAUACCCUGGUAGUC